GACGAACCGUCCAAACGUUAUUCGGAAUCACUGGGCUUACAGAGUUCGUAGGCGGCCUUCUAAGUCGAACGUGAAAUCCCUGGGCUCAACCCAGGAACUGCGUCCGAUACUGGAAGGCUUGAAUCCGGGAGAGGGAUGCGGAAUUCCAGGUGUAGCGGUGAAAUGCGUAGAUAUCUGGAGGAACACCGGUGGCGAAGGCGGCAUCCUGGACCGGUAUUGACGCUGAGGCGCGAAAGCCAGGGGAGCAAACGGG
rnacentral:rRNA from 1 species